rnacentral:lncRNA from 7 species
GAGAGAGCGUGUGCGGGAGGGGAGGGAGGGGGAGGUAGGAGCACACAGCAGAACAGGAUGCGCCGCUUCCAGGCUGGCUCUACAGUGCCGGGAGCCCCGCGGCCGUUCCGAGACUCCGGGGGAGCGCAGGAGCGCGGCACAUGGCAGCGGGUCCCGGGGAUCUCGCUGGGCGCUUCCUGCAGGUCCGCGGGGACUUUCCCUGCCUGGAACCCCUCACUGAGCUGAGGGGCGACUGAAAACGAAAAAGAAGAAAAAGCCAGAGACCCCAGCAUGAGAUUGAACACAGUGACUAACCCCCAAGAACUGCAGCUCUAGAGAGAGCAGCACCUCCACAGAGACAGCCGCGACAAGGCCUCUGCAGAACACCAGCCCUGCCACAGAGUGCAGUCGGGAGAACUUCACAUAAAUAGGGGGAAAGAAGAUUGAAAGCAGGAGCUCGGAAUGAAUUGGAAAUUCACACAGAACCUCUUCUCUGUCUUAUUAAUAACCACUUCAGAUCUGCACCAUUGACCGCUGUUAACUAUUAUUAGGGCACUUUGCCUGACUGGUUAGAAGAGAUUUUCUCCUACUGUGUUGAGCAACCAUGGUGUCCAGUCAGCUCGUGCAUAUGUGGGACUCAACACGUAACGUGAAACAAACAGCAACAGUGACAGGACAAAAGGGCCUUUGACAGAGAAAGAUUGAUGGUGGCAAACAGAGAAGUGUCGCAAAGCCAACCUCAUGCUUGCCAAACUCCAAAGACACAUUUGUCAUCCGUGGCACUUUCUCCCUGGUGCAGGCUGCUUGUCAAAGGGACUAGUUCGAGUGUUCAGCAGGCAAGGAGACGUGGAGGUAAAGAAGUGAAGACAUCAUUCUUCAUUACUCACCUCAGAAAGCAGGAAAGGAAAAUAAGAAAGAGUCGACCACAGUACAGUCUUGAUUAAUUACCAGACUUGGCAGUGACAGUGAAAGGAAGAGAAGGGAGAAUUUUAUUGCUAUAUAUACUGAGCGCAAACACAGUUUCCGCAAGAACCAUAAGCUAAAUGAAGCAAGAAUUAGCACCCAGACCUGAAGACUGAAAACACAGACCUGCAGAGAUGUUCAGCUCCCUGCACAGCUGCUCUAGGUCUCAGGCCUUUGUGGUGGACAAACCUCAUGGACUGUCAGCAACUUUGGCCUUCACUAUAAACAAGAUCUUGCAUAUGGAGUUUGUAAUGCACAAGUCCAAUGUAGAGACAAUGAGAGAAAUUCUGAUGCGUAAAACUGAAAUGGCUACAAGGAAGAUUAAAAAACAUUUAAUGUGUUACUUGCAUACAAAUCUGAUGCUUUUACUCAGGGUGAUCUCUUCCCUAAUUUUGACAAAGAUUUUUGUUUGAAAAACCUACCUGUACAGCCAAAGCUGUCAGUAACUGUUCUCUCCUUAGAUGUUAUUUAAAGCAAUUUAGAGUGCAAACAUGCUAGAAAAGCUACUCGUAGCAAAUGUCAUUAUGGCUCUCAUAUUGUGUGCAGUUAGACUUGAAGAAAAAAAUGAUGUUUUUUUUCCUUGCCUCACUGCAAACAUGUAAACUAAGCCUGUGAUCUGAAGUUUUCACCUUUCCAGCUCAUACAUCAUCUGAAAUCAAAUUUUGACUUUUUAAACAAUUACAUAAGAUGUGUAAAACCUGAAGGAAGAUGUAUAUUUUUUCUCUCAAAAUUGUGGCAACUUCAGUAAGAGCGAAAAACAUUUCAAAUGCACCUUUAUCUAUAUAUCUCUCAGCUCCAUGUCUGCAGUCAGAAUAGAUUAUGAAUUGUUUUCAUUAUUAUGUAUUUGAGUAAAGGGGCUUGAAAUCAUAUUCCACCAGGUUUCAAUCACAGUGGCAGUUACUGGAAACCACUUCUUCCAAGUACAUUAGUAGUAAAAUUGCUUUCAACAGUGAUUGAGUGGGAUUAGACCAACCAAUGACAAUCACAGGUAAAUGACUGUCAUUUCCCCUGUACAUAACACAGCCCAAAUAUCUAGAGGUCUAGUGCUGGUGAAGGGUCCUCUCUGAGUAUGCAUCUCUCUAGUACUAAAAAUAAAGGACUCAG